AAUACAUGCAAGUCGAGGGGCAGCAUUGAUUGCUUGCAAUCAGAUGGCGACCGGCGCACGGGUGCGUAACGCGUAUGCAACUUACCUACUACAGGGGGAUAGCUUCCGGAAACGGAAAUUAAUACCCCAUGGUCUCUAUUAUUCACAUGGAUAUAAGGGUAAAGAUUUAUUGGUAGUAGAUGGGCAUGCGUCCCAUUAGCUAGUUGGCGGUGUAACGGACCACCAAGGCGAUGAUGGGUAGGGGUUCUGAGAGGAUGAUCCCCCACACUGGUACUGAGAUACGGACCAGACUCCUACGGGAGGCAGCAGUAGGGAAUAUUGGUCAAUGGGCGAAAGCCUGAACCAGCCAUGCCGCGUGCAGGAAGACGGCCUUCUGGGUUGUAAACUGCUUUUAUACGGGAAGAAAACGCCCAUGCGUGGGCAUCUGACGGUACCGUAUGAAUAAGCACCGGCUAACUCCGUGCCAGCAGCCGCGGUAAUACGGAGGGUGCAAGCGUUGUCCGGAUUUACUGGGUUUAAAGGGUACGUAGGCGGCCCAUUAAGUCAGUGGUGAAAUGUACCAGCUCAACUGGUGAAGUGCCAUUGAUACUGAUGAGCUUGAGUAUUGUAAAGGUAGGCGGAAUUGAUGGUGUAGCGGUGAAAUGCAUAGAUACCAUCAAGAACACCGAUUGCGAAGGCAGCUUACUGGGCAAUAACUGACGCUGAGGUACGAAAGCGUGGGGAGCGAACAGGAUUAGAUACCCUGGUAGUCCACGCUGUAAACGAUGAUCACUCGAUG
rnacentral:rRNA from 1 species